GCGCAGUUUUCAGUAAAAGUAAAAGGCGUCGCGCAAGUAUGUAGUAUUUAUGACUACACGCAUAGCAAUUUUUUUAAUAAAAGGCGAAACAAACAAUUUUAGAUAUCAUUUAAAAGACACAAAAUACUACUUUGGUUCUUGCAUAUAAAUUGACAUUAGUAAAUAUUUCAUAAUUGUAAUAUAACGUGAGUAAUACCACGUUUUAGUGAAAAUUAUGGGUUAUAAAGUCUGUUAAUGGGUUGGACAAUUGAAAUUGUGUCAGUUAAGAGUUAUUUAGCCACGAAAAUAGUUUUGCUACCUUUAUAUUUUCCCAUUGAAAAAGUUAAGAAUGAGAGAUUCUUGAGUAAAAAAAAAUGAUAACACGGUGCAGCACUAUCCUUCCAGUAAACGCAUUUUUAUUUUGACUUUCUUUGCAUUUUAUUGAAGAGUGUGUCACUUCAAUAUAGCGUGAUCUGGGUUGGCCGCUGGAAUAUGCAUGAAUUUAUUAUUAACGAUUUCAAUCAGCCUUAAUUUUUGUGUCUGCAAAAAGUAGCAUGUUCUCAAAUCCGACUGAACGUGUCUUUCUAAUACAACACAGGGUACAUAUAACGUGUUGUCGUUCUCAUAUGCACAUGAUAUUUGUCACUGGACGUUUAACCCUAAUUCGUCAGCAUCAUCCAAUUGGUUCUUUUCUUCUAUUACUUAAUCAUGUUGUUUAUAAAUCAUUCUAAAGAAGUAAAUGGAAAGGAGCGAAUGCAGCUACAUUUGGUUGUAUUAAGUUUAAAUUCAUGUUAUUCCGUUUAGUUCCUUUUCUACAUAUGUGCAGUGGGAAACUGCAGUUGUCCACAUGUAAACUUCAAGCAUUUGUUACCAAUAUGAGUACAUCGCAAUCCGUUUAUUUCCACUAAAACAAUUAUUGUUUUUUCUUCUCUUUUUUUAGCAAUGCAUCACUCUCUACUGUCCUUAUCUUUUAUUUAUAUUCUGUAUCUCCAUCCAGAUUCUCGUGUAUACCAUGAGGGUCGGAUUGGGGUGUUGAUUAUUUCUGUAUUCUUUAAAUUGUUAUGUUACUUUUCUAUACAUUUUAUUUAUCUUACUCAUUAUUCUUUCUCUAUUCUUUAUAUUUAGGCAUCCCAAUAUAUUUUACUUACUGAUGUUUAGUUACAUUACGACGUUAAUCUCUGAUUUAUAUACUGGUUACCAAUGUAAUGUAGAUGACAAAUUGGUGUCAUUCAUGACAAUAAAACAGAAUCCACAGAAUAUAUGCGACCAUUCUCGGAUAAAAUUAAUUUUACUUUAAUUUAACACUUUUUGAAACCACUUUUAUCAAUUUUCAAUAUCCAUUGCCUAAAAUUGUUAAUCGUUCAUGUGUUUUUGUUUCCGUAUAUUUUAUAUUCCAUUGCUCAUGUUUUGUUUCCGUAUAUAUUUUAUGUUCCAUUGCUCAAGUGUUGUUUCCGUAUAUUUUAGCCGCUCGUCUUGAGCCUACCAAAUUAACACACUAUAUAGUAAUAAAUUAUACUUUUAUUGUCAUUCAUAACUCUUAACAGACCAAUUAACAGACCGGGUUUUAUACAUCCGACCCAUUAACAGACCAGGUUUUAAAAAAAAGAUUGAUUUAUGUCACCAAAAUACGGAUUUUCGUGUAGAUUUUUCACACAAUGAUAUCAAUUUGGUUAACACACAUAAUGCCUGUCUUUUUUUCGAUGUUCAAAAUAUUGCAUGCAAGUAAAUUCAACACAAGUGUCAUUUUGUGUACAUUUUGUGUGUGUAAAAUGUGUAUAAAUUUAUUGAUGAGUAACUUGCCUUUUCAUUUUAUAGAUCGUACAUAGAAGCUAGAAAAAUAAUAAUUACACCACUGGAUUCAGUACAUUGAAUAGUUUUGUUAGACAUAAAUAUUUUUUAUGAUAAACAUAUAUUUAAAAGGUUAUACAAUGAAACAUGCUGAGUUUUCAAUGAUUUUCUCGAUAACACCUGAUUAACAGACUUUAGCCAACCCGAUUAACAGACCAACCGCCGAUAUAGCCGCAUACUCAAUAUAGAUUAACCGACCAAUCUCUCGGUUAGCCGAGUGUCGGCC
rnacentral:lncRNA from 1 species